rnacentral:lncRNA from 1 species
AAUUAUGUUCUACAUUUAUUUGCUGAUAAAACCAUCUUUCCAUAAGAUGGCACAGGAUAUUAAAUGAGUGAUGUUUCAGAAGAAUGAUGGAAACAAAAGAAGGCCAGAAACUAAUGUCAAGCUUUCAGAUUCAUGUUUGCAAAAGAAGCUAGUUCUGAAAGAUGGAAACAAAUGCCCCAAACUCAAACACUCGUGAAACAGUUUCAAGGUUGGAAGUAUAGAUAAUAUGCAUUAUUUCAAUUAAUCUCAAGUCUGCAUUGCUCAUAGAAAUGGGACUUUAUCAUCUCAAUGGAAUAAGCAGCAGCGGAAAUCUUGUCUGCAAUGUUCUGCUCUACCAUCAUGAUAAUUUCCACAUUGUACGGCAUAUCCAUCUGCAAAUCUUACCUGCCAAGCACAGGUAUUGUAUAAGCUUCUACCUAUAAUACCUUUCAGUAGACUGAAGAAUGUUGAUAGACAGUAGAACUGCAAAUCAGAUCAGUGAUCACAACCAUAUUUAACCUAGAUUCUUCUACCAAUCGGAUCAUGAGGCUGUGGCUUUUUGUCAUGGGACAUCACCAG